GACGAACGCUGGCGGCGUGCUUAACACAUGCAAGUCGAACGGUGAAGCUCCAGCUUGCUGGAGUGGAUCAGUGGCGAACGGGUGAGUAACACGUGAGCAACCUGCCCCUGACUCUGGAAUAAGCGCUGGAAACGGCGUCUAAUACUGGAUACGAGAAGGGUCCGCAUGGGCACUUUCUGGAAAGUUCUUCGGUUGGGGAUGGGCUCGCGGCCUAUCAGCUUGUUGGUGAGGUAAUGGCUCACCAAGGCGACGACGGGUAGCCGGCCUGAGAGGGCGACCGGCCACACUGGGACUGAGACACGGCCCAGACUCCUACGGGAGGCAGCAGUGGGGAAUAUUGCACAAUGGGCGAAAGCCUGAUGCAGCGACGCCGCGUGAGGGAUGACGGCCUUCGGGUUGUAAACCUCUUUCAGCAGGGAAGAAGCGAAAGUGACGGUACCUGCAGAAGAAGCACCGGCUAACUACGUG
rnacentral:rRNA from 1 species